AGAAGCUAAGACAGAGCCCUGAUGUUGUUGAGCCACCAAAUCAUCCAGACGUCUCCUUCUGGACUUCUAGUCAUGUGAGAUCAGGCAACAACUGUGGUCACCACUUUACAAAAUAGGCAAUACAUUUCAUUAAUAAUCCAAUUGAUAUGUAUUGCCCGGGACAUUGUGUGGGCUGUGGGCCCAGAGAGAAGAGAAGUUUGCUCUCGCUGCCGGACAGCUGCAGCCAGUGUGGGAGAGACACAAUGUGAUGCGGACAGUGCACCUAUACAGAAUAAUACAAGAAAAUAAAGAGCACCGAGAUACCCGCACACAUUAUACGACGGGUGACCUUCAGUGAAAUCUCUUGCUCUCGUGUUAAUAUUCCCAGUACUUUCUGUUCAGCCUAGAAAGAGCCCACGAGUUGUCUCCCACACAAACCAGCCAUGCAGCACAAGUUUGACUUCUAAGAGUUUGUGGCUGCCUUUGAAGUGUGAUUUGAGAGGCUAGGCACUUCUGCCUCCCUCCACUGAUGCCUAAAAUGUAAC